rnacentral:rRNA from 1 species
UACGUAGGGUGCAAGCGUUGUCCGGAAUUAUUGGGCGUAAAGAGCUCGUAGGCGGCUUGUCACGUCGGAUGUGAAAGCCCGGGGCUUAACCCCGGGUCUGCAGUGGAUACGGGCAGGCUAGAGGUAGGUAGGGGAGAAUGGAAUUCCCGGUGUAGCGGUGAAAUGCGCAGAUAUCAGGAGGAACACCGAUGGCGAAGGCAGAUCUCUGGGCCGUAACUGACGCUGAGGAGCGAAAGCAUGGGGAGCGAACAGG